GGGCCGUUAGCUCAGUUGGUAGAGCACCGGACUUUUAAUCCGGGUGUCGCAGGUUCGAUCCCUGCACGGCUCACCA
rnacentral:tRNA from 2 species